rnacentral:rRNA from 1 species
UACGUAGGGGGCAAGCGUUGUCCGGAUUUAUUGGGCGUAAAGAGCUCGUAGGUGGUUUGGUAAGUCGGAUGUGAAAUCUCCAGGCUCAACCUGGAGGGGUCAUUCGAUACUGCCAUGACUAGAGGUCGGUAGGGGAGUGUGGAAUUCCUGGUGGAGCGGUGAAAUGCGCAGAUAUCAGGAGGAACACCCGUAGCGAAGGCGGCUCUCUGGGACGGUACUGACGCUGAGACGCGAAAGCGUGGGGAGCGAACAGG